rnacentral:sRNA from 1 species
UCCAAAAGAAAGCUGGUGUUUCACGCGGG